rnacentral:rRNA from 1 species
AGUGAACGCUGGCGGUAGGCCUAACACAUGCAAGUCGAACGGCAGCACAGUAAGAGCUUGCUCUUACGGGUGGCGAGUGGCGGACGGGUGAGGAAUACAUCGGAAUCUACUUUUUCGUGGGGGAUAACGUAGGGAAACUUACGCUGAUACCGCAUACGACCUACGGGUGAAAGCAGGGGAUCUUCGGACCUUGCGCGAUUGAGUGAGCCGAUGUCGGAUUAGCUAGUUGGCGGGGUAAAGGCCCACCAAGGCGACGAUCCGUCGCUGGUCUGAGAGGAUGAUCAGCCACACUGGAACUGAGACACGGUCCAGACUCCUACGGGAGGCAGCAGUGGGGAAUAUUGGACAAUGGGCGCAAGCCUGAUCCAGCCAUACCGCGUGGGUGAAGAAGGCCUUCGGGUUGUAAAGCCCUUUUGUUGGGAAAGAAAAGCAGCAGGUUAAUACCCCGCUGUUCUGACGGUACCCAAAGAAUAAGCACCGGCUAACUUCGUG